rnacentral:rRNA from 1 species
GAUGAACGUUGGCGGUGUGCCUAAUACAUGCAAGUCGAACGGAGAUUGUAGCAAUACGGUCUUAGUGGCGAACGGGUGAGUAACGCGUUGGUGAUCUGCCUCGAAGUGUGGAAUAACGAUUCGAAAGAAUCGCUAAUACCGCAUAGUCUCUCUUUUUCCAGAAAUUUGAGAGUAAAGGAUUUAUUCGCUUUGAGAGGAGCCUGCGUCCCAUCAGCUAGUUGGUAAGGUAAUGGCCUACCAAGGCGAUGACGGGUAGGGGACCUGAGAGGGUGGCCCCCCACAAUGGAACUGAAACACGGUCCAUACACCUACGGGUGGCAGCAGUAGGGAAUAUUAGAAAUGGACGAAAGUCUGAUCUAGCAACACCGCGUGUGCGAAGAAGGCCUUCGGUUGUAAAGCACUUUUGGUAAGGAUUAGAAGGAAUGUACUUCCAGAAUAAGUACUCGGCUAACUACGUG